rnacentral:rRNA from 1 species
ACACAUGCAGUCGACGAGACCUUCGGGUCUAGUGGCGCACGGGUGCGUAACGCGUGGGAAUCUGCCCUUCGGUUCGGAAUAACUCAGGGAAACUUGAGCUAAUACCGGAUAAUGACUUCGGUCCAAAGAUUUAUCGCCGAGGGAUGAGCCCGCGUAGGAUUAGCUUGUUGGUGAGGUAAAAGCUCACCAAGGCGACGAUCCUUAGCUGGUCUGAGAGGAUGAUCAGCCACACUGGGACUGAGACACGGCCCAGACUCCCACGGGAGGCAGCAGUGGGGAAUAUUGGACAAUGGGCGAAAGCCUGAUCCAGCAAUGCCGCGUGAGUGAUGAAGGCCUUAGGGUUGUAAAGCUCUUUUACCCGGGAUGAUAAUGACAGUACCGGGAGAAUAAGCCCCGGCUAACUCCGUGCCAGCAGCCGCGGUAAUACGGAGGGGGCUAGCGUUGUUCGGAAUUACUGGGCGUAAAGCGCGCGUAGGCGGCUUUGUAAGUUAGAGGUGAAAGCCCAGAGCUUAACUCUGGAAUUGCCUUUAAGACUGCAUCGCUUGAAUCAUGGAGAGGUGAGUGGAAUUCCGAGUGUAGAGGUGAAAUUCGUAGAUAUUCGGAAGAACACCAGUGGCGAAGGCGACUCACUGGACAUGUAUUGACGCUGAGGUGCGAAAGCGUGGGGGAGCAAACAGGAUUAGAUACCCUGGUAGUCCACGCCGUAAACGAUGAUGACUAGCUGUCGGGGCGCUUAGCGUUUCGGUGGCGCAGCUAACGCGUUAAGUCAUCCGCCUGGGGGAGUACGGCCGCAAAGGUUAAAACUCAAAGAAAUUGACGGGGGCCUGCACAAGCGGUGGGAGCAUGUGGUUUAAUUUCGAAGCAACGCGCAGAACCUUUACCAGCGUUUGACAU